rnacentral:RNase_P_RNA from 1 species
GGAGCGGGAGGGGAGGAAAGUCCGGGCAACGCAGGGCGCCGCGCUUCCUAACGGGAAGAUCUUCGUGAGGGGAUAGCCGCGUAACAGAAAACAACCGCCGUUCUUCAGAACGGUAAGGGUGAAAAGGCGGGGUAAGAGCCCACCGCAGCCAUGGUGACAUGUGCCGGCCGUACGUCUCGCGGGUUGCAAGACCAUGUAUACCGACAGUUUUAAGGACGGCCCGUCCGAUGUCGGGGGGUAGGUUGCUGAUGAGCCGGCGGGUGACCGUCGACCUAGAUAAAUGACAGAGGCCUCGAUUCGAGGUACAGAACCCGGCUUACACGCCCUG